GUGAAGGUCACAAGCCGUGCCCUUUGGAACAGGCUGCAGCCACUGUACAUGGCCAAGCCUACCACGGAAACAUGGCUGCAUGCUGCCGAGGGUUUCGGCCGCGCGUGGCAAUUUCCCAACUGCCUCGGUGCCGUGGAUGGUAAACAUGUCCAGAUAAAAUGCCCGAAGAAUUCUGGAAGUAUGUUCUUCAACUACAAGGGCACAUACUCCAUUGUUCUCCUGGCGGUGGUGGACAGCAAUUAUAAAUUUAUUAUGAUUGAUGUGGGG